CCUACGGGGGGCUGCAGUCGAGGAUCUUCGGCAAUGGGGGCAACCCUGACCGAGCGACGCCGCGUGGGCGAUGAAGGCCUUCGGGUUGUAAAGCCCUGUCGAGGGGGAGAAAAGCCAAAAGCUUGAUCUAUCCCUGGAGGAAGCACGGGCUAAGUUCGUGCCAGCAGCCGCGGUAAGACGAACCGUGCGAACGUUGUUCGGAAUCACUGGGCUUAAAGGGCGCGUAGGCGGGCUGCCAAGUCUGGGGUGAAAUCCUCCGGCUCAACCGGAGAACG
rnacentral:rRNA from 1 species